rnacentral:tRNA from 1 species
GCCGACGUGGUGGAAUUGGUAGACACGCUAUCUUGAGGGGGUAGUGGCGAAAGCUAUGCGAGUUCGAUUCUCGCCGUCGGCA